rnacentral:misc_RNA from 1 species
AACGCACAUUGCGCCCUUUGGUAUUCCGAAGGGCAUGCCUGUUCGAGCGUCAUUGUCACCCCUCAAGCCCCGUGCUUGGUGUUGGACGGUUUGGUCGUGUAACGUCGACCCCUCCUAAAGGUAACGACGGCGGCCCGUGGAACCCCCGGUACACUGAGCUUUUAACUGAGCAUGUACUGGAUGAGGGUGCCCGGGGCGCGGUCCCUCCUCCCUUCAGUGGGAACAUUUUCCAGGUUGACCUCGGAUCAGGUAGGAAUACGCGCUGAACUUAA